CUUAUCUGUCAUAAGAGAAAAACAUUGUAUCGAUGUUUACUGUAAACAAAAAAAACUGAAUGCUCCCAACCCUGCCUCUCUCGAGCACUUUCACUGCCUGCUACAUACUUUCACGCAACAAUUAAGUCGGCCUACUUAAUCAUUAAAAAACAUUGGAAAAUUAUAAAAAWAUAUAAAAAACACACUGAUACAAAAGACGGUUUGUAUAUCAGGGUAUUUAAUGUAAUGUAUUACACCUAGCCUUAUUUGUGAAUAAUAUGAACAAACGACUGUCCUUAUGCAUCCCUCAAAUGUUGCCCAAGUUAUUGUAUCAGUUAUUGUAUCAAAGUUGCCCGUGCGAAAGCCAGAAAUGUCCUAUUAUUGUCCUACCUAGGUCUAUAGUCUCUUCCCUGUAGCAUACCUCUGCGAGAACCUCGCACCGCGGAGACCGGGUUUCGAGUUUCACUGUCAAUACAGUGGUCUUGCCUUCACACUCAUUUCAAGCACAACGGAAACCUGUGCUAAAAUGAUACUGUGAGCGUAACUUCUCGAUUUUAUUUAGAUAAUAUAUUUAUUUUAAUUCUAUACAUAGGCCUAAAACACAGAUUAGCGUUGCGUUCCAUGAAAGGGUCUGAUAGUAGCAUAUUCCGUGAAAGUAGGCAAGUAAAGUUACGCUACAGGUUAAACUGGCAAACAGCGGCCUCGUAAGAGUCAAUAACAAAGACACCAAAGGACUCCACAAAUCCCGCAAAAAUGAGGUGAAAAUUGAAGAUUUCGCUUGAGAAAUUCGUCCGAUUAUAAAAGAAGAACGUAAAAGAGAACCAUGAUCAGAAGAAAAACGAAUUAUGAACUUACCAGACAUGUUGUAAAAUUUAAGAAAGAGUCCUGGAAGAAGAGCAGUUAUGAGAUUCCACAAUGUCCUUUUCUAGCUCAGUUAUAUGGGCUAUAAUGAAAUAUUCAUAAAAAUCCCACAAAUUCUCAACACACAAGUCUUAAAACUGUCUCAGAGCAUACAAUAAUAUCCUAAUAUAGCUAGGGAUGUAUUAGUUUGUGAAAUUUUCUCUCCAUGCCUACUUUUUAAAACCCCUAGAACUCAAUGAUUUGACAAUGAUUUGAUUGCGCGUUACUUUCAAUUUGAAUAUUCAAAGGCUACACAAAAAUACAUAUUUUUCAGUAUAAAUCAAUACAUAUGUACUUAAAAUAACAUUCCAUUUAAUAGAAUACAGCACUAUUUUAUACCCAAACCGAAAAGAAAUUGAUAUUUUAAACAUUUUAUCCAUCUUUUGCCAAUCUGGCCAUCAGUCCCCCUUCAUAAUGAGGCCCUACAGGAAAGUAACGGUAAGAUGCUCUAUCUAAACAUCACCAACCAUUACACAUCGCAGAUCAUAUGUAUUUCAGGAUGGAUAAGCACAUCAACACGUUAUGACCAUAAAUUUUUAGUCUUAUUUUAAACAACAAAAUAUUAAAUGUCUCGGCUGUGGGCGUGGCAUAUAGUAGCAGCCAUUUCUGCCAUCACUGACUCCAUUGCUCCUUCAGCAAGUGCAUGCUCCCCAUCCCCGGAGCUCACAUCACCCAUGUGUUACCAAUUAUAUUACAGUGGUUUUAGCAUUAUUUUGUUUAGUUACAUUAAUUAUAUUCAUUAUUCAUAUAACUAUCUAGACUGAACGUUUCAGUCAUUCACAUGUGAAACCUGAUUUGACAUCCCAGGGCUAGGCUACUUUAUAGAUAGCCUAUAAAAUAUAUAGAGUGUAUAGACUAUCUAUAAAGUAGCCUAGCAUCAUUCGAAUCCAGAAAACGUUUUACAAAUGAGUUUCAAUGCAAAAACUCUGUUUACAUAUGUCUGAUAUAAUUUGAAUUCUAUGAGGAGACUCCUUGAUUGCUCUACUUGUGAAUCCUGGGCCUACUUAGAUGUGGGCAAAGUAUUUUCAAUUUAUAGACUUAUUGGAAUAGGGUUACUGUCCAUGCCUGUUUUAAUGUAUAAGAGUUUACAACUUAAUACAUAUAAUAUGAACAAACAACAUGUUAUCAGAAGGCAAUUUUCACUCAAAUAUUUUAAGAAAACAUGAGCACAUUGCCUUAGCGAAAACCGUUUCCUAGAAGUGUUCUUCCAUUGCCAUUGUUAGCCUACAUUUGAAUAACAAUUUACAAACAAUAAACACAAACAUAUACCUAGUUUUAAUUAAAAUAGCUUAGCUUUCCGUUUUGGGGUAUCAUAUAUCAUUAUCAUCAUUCAUAUAUUGAGAAAAUACACACACUAUAUGCCCAAUACAAUCUAUUGCCUUUCCUGAUUUAUACUGGUAAGGGCCUAUGCAAUGAUCCUACCAUGUAGGUUUAAAGCCCAUCAUCUCCAAUGGGUAGUUGAAUUGGCGUCUUGACCAACUUCUCACCUUCCAUAAAGUAGGACCUAGGCCCAUUAUCGUAACUGCCAAGAAUAUUAUGCUAGUGUUCUGAUAUAAUAUCUAACGUUACAAUGUUUUAAUUUUUAUUUUCUGGGGUUGCAAUUUCCUCCCCAUACAUUACGCUGGUACCGUAAGAGAAGAGGUAACAUGAAACAACUGCGCCAUCUAGAGUAGGAUAUACGUAAAGGGCUCCCCGUCUUAAUUGAAUGUAGUGGCAAAAUCGUAUUUUUUUUCAUGUGUAAUUUUAGCCAAAAAUAUGUUUAAUUUUCAUGCAUUUAUUGCAGUCUCUUUUAUUAUAUUGGAUUUAUAAUACACAUUCUACUUCCCAAUA